rnacentral:lncRNA from 1 species
GAGAAGUGACAGUGAAGAUCUGAUCGGGAGAGUAUACAAGAGAUCUCAUCGUUGUGACAUUCCACAUUGUCUCCAGUUUGGGACAAUCACUCAAUUACAAUAUGUGAGUCUUGAGAAUGUGGCAAUGUAAAGUGUGUGGCACAGAAAGUAUCCAGUAGGAGGAAGACGAAUGGUGACCCUGAAGAGGCACAUCCUCAUUUAAGAAAAAAGAAAGAUGUCGAGUCCAGUCAAUCUAAGGAUUGUUUUUGGUGGGGAUGAAGAUGCAAGAAAGCUUGCACUUAAGACAGGAAUCCCAAAGUCUGUGGAUGAACUUGUCCUUGAAAUAAUGACUGUUUUUGGUGUAAAGCAAAAUUUCAGGCUCCAGUACAAAGAUAAGGACUUUGGAAAUGAAUACAUGAAUCUCACAUCAACCACUCAAAUUGAAGACAGGGAUACCCUGAAAGUGAUUUUUCUGUCAACUGAUGACUUUAACUCCUGCAUGCAUGAGACUGCA